ensembl:lncRNA
GCCUGUGGGUUUUUAAGUUUGUGUUCACCCAACCACAGUGCAUGAGCCACAAGCUAACAGGCUGCGGGGUGUAUAGGACUGUCCGGAAGGUAUUGUAUGGAUGGUAUUUCAUGGGGACGGAAUACCUGGAGUGCAGACUUUGCAAAAAGAUGUCGGCAAGUUGGUCUUUGGAUGUCCUCAACCAGUUGGACCCAAGUCAUCGGGCCAAGUUCCCAGCCAUCUUGACUUAUCAGACCAGCAGAUGAGGGUUCCAGGAAAAAAGAUCCUUCCAGGAAAUUCAGCCGUCCGUGGUAGCCACCUGUUAUUGACAGUCACUGACAAGAAGCUGACACACACCACCUCCAGAACCAGCAAGGGGGCUGUGAAGAGACGGGCCCCAACAAGCAACCCCCCAACUAAGAGAGUCGUCAGUGCUGCCAGACUUGCCAAGGACCUCCUCCCUAACAGGUACACUAAUUUAAGGAGUAGGGAAGAGCAGGCUGAUGACGGACCUGCUAGGAAGACGAAGCAACCAGUGGCUUUCCCUUGCAAAAUCUGUGGAAAACCAAAAAGAAAAUAAUUUGUCCAAAGUCAGUACAAGGAGGAGUACUACUGUGAGGCAGCAGGUGGUGAAAAAACGGCUAAACAGUGACUGGAGAAGACCAGGGCCAAGGGUGUGCUGCCAGGUGCUGUGAAUCUUCGAUGUAAACUCACCUUAAAACAAACGUCCCCCUUUCCGAAAUCAUCCUCUGAACGCCCCCUGAAGGGGGGUACCGCCCCCGUUGAGAAACACUGGUCUGGAUAGUGUUCGAAUUUCGGGAAAAGUAUUGCCGUCUAUUCUGUGUGAUGAAUUGUGUUUAUAUAAAUGUGUUACUGUUAAAAUGCAGGUAAGGCAAUAAAAACACAUAACUGACAAAUGGUUUCAUCAUUCAGUUUGACAUUGUGAUCGACCAGAUAAUAAAUGAUCAGUAGCCGCGGCGAUUGACCAAACGCCCCUGUAGAGGACAGAUUUCUCUAAGAAAAUAUUUCACCAUGUAAUAAUUGCAUUAUGAACACCAAUAGGCUUCUGUAUGAAUUGUUUUGCUAAUUGAUUAGAAGCCUGCUUAACUGCUAUGCUAAAUCCAAUGUAAUAAAUGGACUGUUAGACUAGGCUCAAAUGUAUAUUUUGACUGUUCACAGAUGCCAAGGAUAGGCAAAGACCUAGUGCUAUGGUUGCCAUGAGAGUGUAGCUUAAUCUUA